GAGGAUACAGGAGAGAUGGGGAUACAGAAGUUUUGUUUCAUAGCGUUGGGCCAAGUGGGCCGGUAGGAGCUAAUAUUUUUUUUGUUUUUCUUGUAUACACUAAUACACAUAUGUAUAAAUAUUAUAUAUAUAAUUUUUUUGCCAAAACUUUUGGGUAUUCAACUGAAUACCAAUGCAUACAAUUGUGCCCGCCACUGAGGGCGAACGGGCGUAGAGAAAUCGCGCGGGGUGGGAGGAGCCGGGGGGAUGGAGUCCGACGUGGAAGACCGAAAUUGUAGAUGCAAAGUGGUGGAAAGAUUUGUAUAUAUGCAAAGCCUCAACCUCUAUUUGCAAAGCUAACCAAAUUGCAAACCUUAUUUGCAAAACCAUUGGAGGGGUAUUUUCUACUCUUUUUUGCAAACUAGGUAG
rnacentral:lncRNA from 1 species